rnacentral:lncRNA from 1 species
UGCGAAGCGCAAUUACCAUCAUUUUAGUAUAAAUACUGACAAUUCAGAGAAUUUAAGUCAUUAAAUUAUAAGAAGUGUCUACUACUGUCUCGAAGAAAUUCCUAUAAUUGACGGUUAAGUUAACAUGUCGAAGCUCUUAAUCAACUUUUUUUUCUUUGCAUUGCUCGCUAUCAUGAUUAAUCCGUCUUUGGGAUGCAAAGGAAACGGAGAAUUGUGCAGAGACGAUGGUGAGUGUUGCAAUCACUUUUGCGUGAGAUCCAUGUUCGCUCAAAUAUGUGAGCCCAGAUGGGGAAAAUAAUAAUUUUUUUCAUGUAAAACUUUGGUUAAAU